rnacentral:rRNA from 1 species
UACGUAGGGCGCAAGCGUUGUUCGGAAUUACUGGGCGUAAAGGGCUUGUAGGCGGCCAACUAAGUCCGACGUGAAAUCCCCAGGCUUAACCUGGGAACUGCGUCGGAUACUGAAUGGCUUGAAUUCGGGAGAGGGAUGCAGAAUUCCAGGUGUAGCGGUGAAAUGCGUAGAUAUCUGGAGGAAUACCGGUGGCGAAGGCGGCAUCCUGGACCGACAUUGACGCUGAGGAGCGAAAGCUUGGGGAGCAAACGGG